rnacentral:rRNA from 1 species
CGCUGGCGGCGUGGAUAAGACAUGCAAGUUGAGCGAUGAACUGAUGAUAGCAAUAUUUGACGGGAUUAGCAGCGAACGGGUGAGUAACACGUAGGAAUCUGCCCCAAAGCUCAGGAUAGCCUGGUGAAAGCCAGGGUAAUACGGAAUGUGAUCUUCGGAUUAAAGGCCUUCGGGUCACUUUGGGAUGAGCCUGCGUUCCAUCAGCUUGUUGGUAGGGUAAAAGCCUACCAAGGCAAUGACGGAUAGCUGGUCUGAGAGGACGGUCAGCCACACUGGAACUGAGACACGGUCCAGACACCUACGGGUGGCAGCAGUCGAGAAUCAUUCGCAAUGGACGAAAGUCUGACGGUGCGACGCCGCGUGGGGGAUGAAGGCCUUAGGGUCGUAAACCCCUGUCGGUUGCAAGUAAGGCUCUACUUACGUAGGGAUUGAUAUUAGCAACAAAGGAAGGGACGGCUAACUCCGUGCCAGCAGCCGCGGUAAUACGGAGGUCCCAAGCGUUGUUCGGAUUUACUGGGCGUAAAGCGUGCGUAGGCUGAGAGAUAAGUUUGGCGUGAAAUCCCCGGGCCCAACCCGGAAAAUGCGCUGAAAACUAUCUCACUAGAGGAUUGGAGGGGAGACUGGAAUUCCUGGUGUAGCAGUGAAAUGCGUAGAUAUCAGGAGGAACACCGGUGGCGAAGGCGAGUCUCUGGACAAUUCCUGACGCUGAGGUACGAAGGCCAGGGUAGCGAAAAGGAUUAGAUACCCUUGUAGUCCUGGCAGUAAACGGUGUGCACUUGCUGUAGGAGGAUUCGACCCCUUCUGUGGCGAAGCUAACGCGUUAAGUGCACCGCCUGGGGAGUACGGCCGCCAAGGUUUAAACCUCUAAAAGAAAUUAC